CACGUAGUUAGCCGUGGCUUUCUGGUUAAGUACCGUCAUCUCAAGGCCAGUUACUACCUCAAGUGUUCUUCCUUAACAACAGAGUUUACGAGCCGAAACCCUUCAUCACUCACGCGGCGUUGCUCCGUCAGACUUGCGUCCAUUGCGGAAGAUUCCCUACUGCUGCCUCCCGUAGGAGUCUGGGCCGUGUCUCAGUCCCAGUGUGGCCGAUCACCCUCUCAGGUCGGCUAUGCAUCGUCGCCUUGGUGAGCCACUAUCUCACCAACUAGCUAAUGCACCGCAGGCCCAUCCAUGAGCGGCAGAUAAUCCGCCUUUAAAAAACUUACUGCUUAUGCAGGAAAGUCGUAUCCGGUAUUAGCUACCGUUUCCGGUAGUUAUCCCAAAUCUACAAGGGGUAGGUUGCCUACGUGUUACUCACCCCGUCCGCCGCUCGAUCAUGAGGAGCAAAGCUCCCUACAAAUCUCGCGCCUGACUUGCAUGUAUUAGGCACGGCCGCC
rnacentral:rRNA from 1 species